UAACUACUCCCUCCGUCCCAAAAUUCUUGUCUUGGAUUUGUCUAGAUAUGAAUGUAUCUNGUCACGUUUUAGUAUUUUGAUACAUCCAUUUUUAAACAAAUCUAAGACAAGAAUUUUGGGACGGAGGGAGUAUUAU
rnacentral:pre_miRNA from 1 species